rnacentral:rRNA from 1 species
GGAAGAAGCUUGCUUUCUUUGCUGGCGACCGGCGCACGGGUGAGUAACACGUAUCCAACCUGCCGAUGACUCGGGGAUAGCCUUUCGAAAGAAAGAUUAAUACCCGAUGGUAUAUCUGAAAGGCAUCUUUCAGCUAUUAAAGAAUUUCGGUCAUUGAUGGGGAUGCGUUCCAUUAGGUUGUUGGCGGGGUAACGGCCCACCAAGCCAUCGAUGGAUAGGGGUUCUGAGAGGAAGGUCCCCCACAUUGGAACUGAGACACGGUCCAAACUCCUACGGGAGGCAGCAGUGAGGAAUAUUGGUCAAUGGACGAGAGUCUGAACCAGCCAAGUAGCGUGAAGGAUGACUGCCCUAUGGGUUGUAAACUUCUUUUAUACGGGAAUAAAGUUAGGCACGUGUGCCUUUUUGUAUGUACCGUAUGAAUAAGGAUCGGCUAACUCCGUGCCAGCAGCCGCGGUAAUACGGAGGAUCCGAGCGUUAUCCGGAUUUAUUGGGUUUAAAGGGAGCGUAGGCGGAUGCUUAAGUCAGUUGUGAAAGUUUGCGGCUCAACCGUAAAAUUGCAGUUGAUACUGGGUGUCUUGAGUACAGUAGAGGCAGGCGGAAUUCGUGGUGUAGCGGUGAAAUGCUUAGAUAUCACGAAGAACUCCGAUUGCGAAGGCAGCUUGCUGGACUGUAACUGACGCUGAUGCU